GUACAAACUUGGUCACUAACGCUGGAUGAUGUUGCAAAAGUGAAGGGAACCAGGUCUGAUAAAGUAAAUUUGGCCAUAGAAUUGCAUCAGCCCCAGAAGCUACUGAGGUGAUCCAUUCUAUCCCAGCACAGUG